rnacentral:rRNA from 1 species
CUCAGAAUGAACGCUGGCGGCGUGCAUAACACAUGCAAGUCGAACGAGAAAUCCCGCCUUCGGGUGGGAGAGUAAAGUGGCGCACGGGUGAGUAACGCGUGGGUAACCUGCCCCUGAAUUCGGGAUAACUCCGCGAAAGCGGUGCUAAUACCGAAUGUCGUCACAGGGACCGUGGUCCCUGGGAUGAAAGGUGACCUCUCCAUGGAAGUUGCCGUUCGGGGAGGGGCUCGCGUACCAUUAGCUUGUUGGUGGGGUAAUGGCCUACCAAUGCUACGAUGGUUAGCUGGUCUGAGAGGAUGAUCAGCCACACUGGCACUGAAACACGGGCCAGACUCCUACGGGAGGCAGCAGUGAGGAAUUUUGCGCAAUGGGGGAAACCCUGACGCAGCAACGCCGCGUGAGUGAAGAAGGCUUUCGGGUCGUAAAGCUCUGUCAAGUGGGAAAAACGUCUUCCCGUUAACAGCGGGAAGGCCUGAUGGUACCACUGGAGGAAGCACCGGCUAACUCCGUGCCAGCAGCCGCGGUAAUACGGAGGGUGCAAGCGUUGUUCGGAAUUACUGGGCGUAAAGAGCGUGUAGGCGGCAAGGUAAGUCAGGCGUGAAAGCCCUGGGCUUAACCCGGGAAGUGCGUUUGAAACUGCCUCGCUCGAGUAUGGGAGAGGAGAGUGGAAUUCCCGGUGUAGAGGUGAAAUUCGUAGAUAUCGGGAGGAACACCCGUGGCGAAGGCGACUCUCUGGACCAAUACUGACGCUGAGACGCGAAAGCGUGGGGAGCAAACAGGAUUAGAUACCCUGGUAGUCCACGCCGUAAACGAUGAGCACUAGGUGUAGCGGGUAUUGACCCCUGCUGUGCCGUAGCUAACGCAUU